rnacentral:rRNA from 1 species
GAUGAACGCUAGCGGCAGGCCUAACACAUGCAAGUCGAGGGAGAGGUUACCUUCGGGUAACCAAAACCGGCGCACGGGUGCGUAACGCGUAUACAAUCUGCCUUUCACAUAGGGAUAGCCCGAAGAAAUUUGGAUUAAUACCUAAUGGUAUAUAAGAGCGGCAUCGUUUUUAUAUUAAAGCUACGGUGGUGAAAGAUGAGUAUGCGUUCUAUUAGCUAGUUGGAGAGGUAACGGCUCCCCAAGGCGACGAUAGAUAGGGGUUCUGAGAGGGAUGUCCCCCACACUGGUACUGAGAUACGGACCAGACUCCUACGGGAGGCAGCAGUAAGGAAUAUUGGACAAUGGUCGGAAGACUGAUCCAGCCAUGCCGCGUGCAGGAUGAAGGUCCUAUGGAUUGUAAACUGCUUUUGGAAGGGAAGAAUAAGGAGUACGUGUACUUUGAUGACGGUACCUUACGAAUAAGCAUCGGCUAACUCCGUG